rnacentral:siRNA from 1 species
AAGAUCGGGUUGUGGUUUAAGUU